AGUGAACGCUGGCGGUAGGCCUAACACAUGCAAGUCGAACGGCAGCACAGUAAGAGCUUGCUCUUACGGGUGGCGAGUGGCGGACGGGUGAGGAAUACAUCGGAAUCUACUUUUUCGUGGGGGAUAACGUAGGGAAACUUACGCUAAUACCGCAUACGACCUACGGGUGAAAGCAGGGGAUCUUCGGACCUUGCGCGAUUGAAUGAGCCGAUGUCGGAUUAGCUAGUUGGCGGGGUAAAGGCCCACCAAGGCGACGAUCCGUAGCUGGUCUGAGAGGAUGAUCAGCCACACUGGAACGGAGACACGGUCCAGACUCCUACGGGAGGCAGAAGGGGGGAAUAUGGGCCAAUGGGCGCAAGCCUGAUCCAGCCAUACCGCGUGGGUGAAGAAGGCUUUCGGGUUGUAAAGCCCUUUUGUUGGGAAAGAAAAGCAGAAGGUUAAUACCCCGCUGUUCUGACGGUACCAAAAGAAUAAGCACCGGCUAACUUCGU
rnacentral:rRNA from 1 species